CAGGUAUGCAGUAAACCUCAUGGUUCCCUUUUGUCUGUCUUAUGCUUAGUAGUGUCUUUUACUCUUUUGGAACAGACUGAAGUUGAAGUGGAAGAUGUCAGAAAAGCACAACCUGAUGUUAUUGCUAAUGGAUCAGCUGGAAUCAUAAGCCGUUUAGAAGAGUCUGGUGAUAAACUAGCUGAAGCCCUUAGGUCUUUGUGCUGGAGAUACUACGGUAUUCAAGCAGAGGUAACUAAUUAGCUGAAACCCUUAGACUUUAGAAGUUGAAGUUUGACAGGAAGUUUCAGUAAAUAGUAUUUUAAUGAAUAUUUGUUUUGCAGGAAGUGAAGAUGAUAGGGUUAGAUUCCCUUGGUUUUGACCUGAGGCUUUGCGCAGGAGCAAAGAUUGAGUCAUUGCGGUUUGCAUUCUCGACAAGAGUAAGUCAGUUCUCUACUUGGUUUUUGUUCUUGAUGUUUAAGUAACCGUGCUAACUAAACAGGUGAUGUUUAUUAUAAGUUUAUAACAUUUCAAGCCAAUGAAAAUUCUUGCGCAGGCAACAUCAGAAGAGGACGCAGAGGAACAAAUAAAAGAACUAUUAUUCCCGACAACAAACCAGUCGAAGCCACUGGAAGAACCCAAGGGAACAAGUCAGACGGAGUCUUCUUAAUGCUGUAGUGAUCUUUAAUGAAGAUGCAUGUAGGAAACAGUCCCAUGAAUCAAAAUCCAAACUGCAAAUGCAUUUUCUGUGGGACAAACAUGAACAAGGGUAGGAUCUUUGGAGUACUUGUCCGAAAAUAUGUUACUUGCAAGUUACUUGCCUUGUUCGAUUACUUGCUACUUGCAAGUAUUUAUUAAUUACUUGGAUAUAUUUCCAAGUUUUAAAAAAUUACUUGAUAGAUAAUAUUUUACGAGAGAAAGUUAUGAAAGUUUGUUUUAUUUACUCGACUUGGUAAAAACACGAGAGUUAUUUUAAAUAAAAUAUUUGCACCUAAUAUAAAAAAAAGAUGCAAUUCAAUAAGGAAAUAUUAUUUACUUCUUACAAUAAAUAAAUAUUUGUUUAGGGUUUUGGUUUUUAUGGUUUAGUUAUCAUUUUUUUAGUCGUAAAACAAGUAACGAGUAAUAUCAAGGCGAGUCGUAACUUUUUUUGUGAUACUUGUUACUUGCCUUGUACUUGCAAGUAGCAAAACUCAACGACUUGAUACUUGACUUGGCAACGACGAGUACUUGAAAAAACGAGGCGAGUACGGAUCAAGUAGCGGGUAUAAGGCAAGUAACGAGUAUUCGUGACCAGCACUAAGACAUGAUAAAGAAAACGCAGCGUUUUGACAAGAUGAAAGUACACCAGCUUUAUAAUAUCUUCUUGCGUGAAAACCAAUGAUAAAAUAACACGUCAUCAAGUGUAAGGAAAGCUCCCCAAACUAGAUAGCCUAAUCUGCAAAUCCCUCUCGCUCGCUAGCUUCUGAGCUCAGAGAGAAAAUAUCUUAACCGAUGAUUGAGUCGGUCAUGGCCGUCCGUCUCUCCACCGGAUUCUCCUCUCCGGCGGCGUUACUCCGUAAUAUCUGUUUCCCUUCUUUCAAGUUUCCUCUUUUUUUUAAAAAAAAAAAUUCCUGAAAAUGCUCUCUUAUUCGUAAUAUGCAGAGUAUCGUCCGGCACCGAGCACGGAGGAGGGAGUGAGCUGCUUCCAUUACGCGUCCCGCCGCGUUUUUCAGCCUCAACGUCUCAACAAUACUGCUUCUUGGUACUUUACUUUUCCUUUUACUUUCUUCAUCCAAUUACCAACGUAAUACUGAGAGUUUUGGCUUUUUAUCAAGAUGUUCGAUUAUAGUGUUUUUUGAAUAGCAUAUCUAUAGUGCGACUAGUUCUUAGUCUUGUACUACCAUGCGCAUGCAGUAUGUUUCUUGUCAAUGCGAAUGGUAACUGUAGUGCGUAGUGGCUAUUUCUUUACUGUAUAGAGUUAAUUGGUUAGAUAACUUGUCAUUUUAGACCUUGGAACCAGUUAAAGUUCAUUUCUUUUGAGUUAUUGUUCGGAUACUGGCUUGUAGGAACGAUGUGUUUGGUCCUGGGUUGUUAGCUGAUGUUAAGGUGCUUGUUUACACUUCCUAAUGCUAUAACUUGAGACUGAAUAUCUUGUCGUUUGAGUUUUGUGAGUAUACAUGAAAGUGUGUUUCAUCCUUCAUGUCUGAGAUACUUGUAAUGAAAUGCAUGAGAUUGUUAAGACUUUUGGAGACUAGUCAUCUCUUUUUGUUUUCUAUGUAUUUGCGCACACAUUCUUAUUACCUUCUGUGGGAAACAAAUGAAUUGACUGAUAUGCACUUUUUCUAGGAGUGGAUAUCUGAAGCACAACAGUGACUAUUUAACAAAGAAACACCCUAGGAAGAAUCGAACUCAAGCCACAGCCGAGUAUGUAGAUUCAGCUUCUGACCCAGAAAAGCAAACUGGCAAGUCGAGGUAUCAUCCUUCAGAAGAUAUUAGAGCCUCUCUGCCACAGAAUGCUGGAGAUUCCAGGCUUUCCCCUGCAGAAACUACUAGAACCAUCAUUGAGGUGUUAUACUGCGUCUCUCAAUCUGUAUUAGCUACCUCUUUUUUUGGUAAAGAAACAUUGUAGGGGCCAAUGCCUUAUAGUAUAUGCAUAAUGCAUUGUUGCAGUCACAUGUUAGCCCGUUUAGUACAUUUGCUUGCUCUGUAGAAACCCUCUUGUUUAGCGAUAAUCAUUUUAUUUUGAUUAAUUGUGUAAGCCUGCAUCGCAUAUGUACAUUAUUCAUUCACAGUUUUCUUGUAUUAUUUGUCCAAGAUUCGUUUUGUGCAUCUGACAUUUCCCGUAGUGUGUCGUGUUCAGGUGAACAAUAAAGGAACCUUGAUGCUUACUGGUUCAACUGGUGAUGGAGUUCUUGAGAAUAUUCUCUGGCCUGAUAUUCCUUAUAUUACAGAUCAGAAUGGAAGUAAGAGGACGUUUAGUCAAUCUUUAGUUCCCUUUAAUUAUAUAAUCGACGUAACAUUGAGUCUAAUUACCCUAAUGCUCUGCAGAUUUAUACUUUCAAGUUAAGGAAGAUGAGGACGUCAUGCAGUCUGUUACCUCUGAAAACAACUAUGUGGUAUGUUGCUGCCUCAUGACAUGCAUAUCCUACUUAUAUCACAUGCAUCUCAUCAUCUUUUAAUGAAAUGAUGAAUAUCUUACUUACAUUGCAUUGCAGCAAGUAAUAGUAGGCUUUGAUACGAUGGAGAUGAUCAAGGAAAUGGAGCUGAUGGGUCUAUCUGAUAGUGACUUUGACACCGAAGACGAUGAAAGUGGAGGAGAAGAUGACAGUGAGGAAGAUGGGGAUGAAGGAGAAGAUGAUGCGGAGGUUUUAACUACUUUCAUUUCACCCUUUAGAUUAAGUCUAUGCGAGGAACCCGUUUGCCAUUCCUUAGCAUGCUUCACUUAGCAACUGUGUUCUUGACUUCAGGAAUGGGUUGCAGUUCUAGAGGAUGAAGAUGAAGACGAAAGUGAUGAUGAUGAUGACUAUGAUGAUGAUGAUGAAGAUGACGAUGAAUCGCUUGGUGACUGGGCAAAAUUGGAAACAAUGAGGAGCUGUCAUCCCAUGUUUUUCGCAAAGAGAAUGUCUGAGGUUAAAGUUCAGUCUCAUCUUCUGAACAAAAUGUGUUGUGAUUUUAUUUUACAAACUUAAUGCAUUUGGCAAUUUUAGGUUGCUGCAAAUGAUCCUGUAGAUUGGAUGGAUCAGCCGUCUGCUGGCCUUGCCAUCCAGGGACUGUUGAGUCAUAUCUUAGUGGAAGAUUAUUCAGAUAUCCAACAGAAACUUGCUGACAUAAAAUCUACAAGUACCAAGGGAGACAAGAAUGCUGAAAACUUAGAGGAGAAGCUUGAAGACACUAAUAAGGCAGAUGGUGAUGAUGAAUCUGAGAAGACGAGAAAAGUGGUGGCGUUUUACAAGCUGGAGAUGAUAAGAAUUCAGCUUAUUACAGCACAAGGGGAUCAGGUAUGCAGUAAACCUCAUGGUUCCCUUUUGUCUGUCUUAUGCUUAGUAGUGUCUUUUACUCUUUUGGAACAGACUGAAGUUGAAGUGGAAGAUGUCAGAAAAGCACAACCUGAUGUUAUUGCUAAUGGAUCAGCUGGAAUCAUAAGCCGUUUAGAAGAGUCUGGUGAUAAACUAGCUGAAGCCCUUAGGUCUUUGUGCUGGAGAUACUACGGUAUUCAAGCAGAG
rnacentral:lncRNA from 1 species